rnacentral:rRNA from 1 species
AUACCCGNGUAGUUCCAGCUGUAAAGUAUGCAGGNNANGUGUUUGGAUGGNGACGUGCCGUNGUAGUGUCGCUNGGAAGNUUUUUAGCNNGCNGUCUGGGGAGUACGNUCGCAAGAUUGAAAGUUAAAAGAAUNGACGGGGGAGCACCACAAGGCGUGAAGCNUGNGGUUUAAUNGGAGUCAACGCCGGAAAUCUCACCGGGAGCGANANCAGUANGAAGGCCAGAUUAAAGGUCUUGCCAGACGAGCUGAGAGGAGGUGCAUGGCCGUCGCCAGUUCGUGCCGUGAGGUGUCCUGUUAAGUCAGGCAACGAUCGAGACCCGCGUCCUCUGUUGCAACUAGCUUUGAGCUGGGCACACUGAGGAGACCGCCACUGAUAAAGUGGAGGAAGGAGCGGGCCACGGCAGGUCAGUAUGCCCCGAAUCUCCCGGGCCACACGCGAGCUGCAAUGGCAGGUACAAUGGGUUCCGACCUCGAAAGGGGAAGGCAAUCUCGAAAGCCUGCCGUAGUUGGGAUCGAGGGCUGCAACCCGCCCUCGUGAACAUGGAAUCCCUAGUAAUCGC